rnacentral:rRNA from 1 species
AAUUUGUUCGGUUCUCCAAUCACGCUCCUUGAAAAACCCAGGGCCAAAUCUCUUAACAAGAUUCUUCCAACACGCUUUCGUACUCAAAACCGCCUCAGGUUUCCAAGGUGAAUAGCCUCUAGUGCAUAGAAGAAUGUGGGUAAAGGAAUUCGGCAAAAUAGAUUCGUAACUUUGGGAAAAGAAUUGGCUCUGAAGAAUGGGUAAGUGGGGUUAGAUUUGACGAGUUUAGAUUUGAAUCAACCUGGGAGCAAUCUUGGGAAGGUUUAGGUUUGCUUUCAACGAGUUUAACUUUUUAAAAAACUGCUUACGACAAACAUUCAAUUCAGAACUGGCACGAACACAGAAAAUCCGACUGUUUAAUUAAAACAAAGCAUUGUGAAGGUCCGUAAGGAUGUAGACACAAUGUGAUUUCUGCCCAGUGCUCUGAAUGUAAAGGUGAAGGAAUUCAAACAAGCGCGGGUAAACGGCGGGAGUAACUAUGACUCUCUUAAGGUAGCCAAAUGCCUCGUCAUCUAAUUGUGACGCGCACGAAUGGAUUAAUGAGAUUCUCACUGUCUCUACCCACCAUCUAGCGAAACCACAGCCAAGGGAACGGGCUUGGAAACGAAAGCGGGGAAAGAAGACCCUGUUGAGCUUGACUCUAGUCUGCUUCUGUGAAAAGACUUUGGGGGUGUAGCGUAUGGAGGAGCUUUAAUCGGCGAACUUGAAACACUCCAACCUCGAACGUCUUUUUACUUCGGGCGUUAAAUGGAAAUUGUUUGCUUUACUGUAAACUUUUAUUCGAAUCAAAUGCAUUUUAAAAUGCUUGUGAUCCAAGCGCUCAACAAAAGCAGGUGGGGAGUUUGACUGGGGCGGUACAUCUGCGAAAAAAAUAGCGCAGGUGAACUAAGGCGGGCUCAAUGAGAAGAGAAAUCUCAUGUAGAGCUAAAGGGUAAAAGCCCGCUUGAUUUAGUCUUUCAGUGUGAGAACAAACAAGGAAACUUUGUCCUAUCGAUCCUUUAUGUGCCCAGAACCUGGGCCUAGAGGUGUCAGAAAAGUUACCACAGGGAUAACUGGCUUGUGGCUGCCAAGCGUCCAAAGCGACGUAGCUUUUUGAUCCUUCGAUGUCGGCUCUUCUCAUCAUUCCGUUGCAGAAGGCGGAAAGUGUCAGAUUGUUCACCUGUAAAAGAGGAACGUGAGCUGGGUUUAGACCGUCGUGAGACAGGUUAGUUUUACCCUACUUUCAGAUUGAUUUCUUGAUUCGACACGGGGGUAGUACGAGAGGAACUGCCCGUGGCCGCAUUUGGUUCGUGCUUUCGUUGAAAAACGAGUGAGCAGAUGCUACGCGGUCUGCGAUAAAAACUGAAGGCCUCUAAAGUUUGAAUCGCACGAAAAAAUGGAAGUCUAUGUUGCACAAUUUAUCCAAACGCAAAAAUAUGUGUAUGCUUUGU